rnacentral:rRNA from 1 species
GACGAACGCUGGCGGCGUGCUUAACACAUGCAAGUCGAACGGUAAGGCCCUGUUUUUGCGGGGUGCUCGAGUGGCGAACGGGUGUGUAACACGCGUGUAACCUGCCCUUGACUCUCGGAUAACUUCAGGAAACAGGGGCUAUUACCGGAUAGGAGAUCUUGCUGCAUGGUGGGGGUUGGAAAGAUUCGGCGGUUGGGGAUGGACUCGCGGCUUAUCAGCCUGUUGGUGGGGUAGUGGCUUACCAAGGCUUUGACGGGUAGCCGGCCUGAGAGGGUGACCGGCCACAUUGGGACUGAGAUACGGCCCAGACUCCUACGGGAGGCAGCAGUGGGGAAUAUUGCACAAUGGGCGGAAGCCUGAUGCAGCAACGCCGCGUGCGGGAUGACGGCCUUCGGGUUGUAAACCGCUUUCGCCUGUGACGAAGCGAGAGUGACGGUAAUGGGUAAAGAAGCGCCGGCUAACUACGUG